rnacentral:hammerhead_ribozyme from 1 species
AUCCAGCUGAAGAGUCACAAUUAGAACGAAAUGCACGUUCUGGAU